rnacentral:rRNA from 1 species
AGAACGAACGCUGGCGGCAUGCCUAAUACAUGCAAGUCGAACGAACACUUCGGUGUUAGUGGCGCACGGGUGCGUAACGCGUGGGAAUCUGCCCUUGGGUUCGGAAUAACAGUUGGAAACGACUGCUAAUACCGGAUGAUGACGAAAGUCCAAAGAUUUAUCGCCCAGGGAUGAGCCCGCGUAGGAUUAGCUAGUUGGUGAGGUAAAGGCUCACCAAGGCGACGAUCCUUAGCUGGUCUGAGAGGAUGAUCAGCCACACUGGGACUGAGACACGGCCCAGACUCCUACGGGAGGCAGCAGUAGGGAAUAUUGGACAAUGGGCGCAAGCCUGAUCCAGCAAUGCCGCGUGAGUGAUGAAGGCCUUAGGGUUGUAAAGCUACUUUUACCCGAGAUGAUAAUGACAGUAUCGGAGAAUAAGCCCCGGACUAACCUCCGUGCCAGCAGCCGC